CAGCACCUCAAGUGGUCAGGAUGAUUAUUGGGCCUAAAGCAUCCGUAGCCGGCGCUGUAAGUUUUCGGUUAAAUCUGUACGCUCAACGUACAGGCUGCCGGGAAUACUGCAGCGCUAGGGAGUGGGAGAGGUAGACGGUACUCGGUAGGAAGGGGUAAAAUCCUUUGAUCUAUUGAUGACCACCUGUGGCGAAGGCGGUCUACCAGAACACGUCCGACGGUGUGGGAUGAAAGCUGGGGGAGCAAACCGGAUUAGAUACCCGUGUAGUC
rnacentral:rRNA from 1 species